AUCGGUAUGGGAUGGGGUCGCGUCCUAUCAGGUAGUCGGCGGGGUAACGGCCCACCGAGCCUACGACGGGUAGCCGGCCUGAGAGGGCGACCGGCCACAUUGGGACUGAGAUACGGCCCAGACUCCUACGGGAGGCAGCAGUGGGGAAUAUUGCACAAUGGGCGCAAGCCUGAUGCAGCGACGCCGCGUGCGGGAUGACGGCCUUCGGGUUGUAAACCGCUUUUGAUCGGGAGCAAGCCUUCGGGUGAGUGUACCUUUCGAAUAAGCACCGGCUAACUACGUGCCAGCAGCCGCGGUAAUACGUAGGGUGCAAGCGUUAUCCGGAAUUAUUGGGCGUAAAGGGCUCGUAGGCGGUUCGUCGCGUCCGGUGUGAAAGUCCAUCGCUUAACGGUGGAUCUGCGCCGGGUACGGGCGGGCUGGAGUGCGGUAGGG
rnacentral:rRNA from 1 species